CAAUAGCGUAUAUUAAAGUUGUUGCAGUUAAAAAGCUCGUAGUUGGAUUUCUGGUGGAUUGAGUCUUCCUUGCACUAUGUGCUUGAGAGUGGCUGUAAUCUCACCAUCUUUGUGGGGAGCAAUCUUGGCCUUCAUUGGUCGGGUUUGGGACCUGCAUCAUUUACUGUGAAAAAUUAGAGUGUUCAUAGCAGGCAUUUCGCUUCUGAAUAUAUUAGCAUGGAAUAAUAAGAUAGGAUCUCGUGUACUAUUUUGUUGGUUUGCAUACCGAGAUAAUGAUUAACAGGGACAGUUGGGGUUAUUCGUAUUUAAUUGUCAGAGGUGAAAUUCUUGGAUUUAUGAAAGACGAACUACUGCGAAAGCAUUUAACAUGGAUGUUUUCAUUAAUCAAGAACGAAAGUUAGGGGAUCGAAGAUGAUUAGAUACCAU
rnacentral:rRNA from 1 species